rnacentral:rRNA from 1 species
GCAGACUAGAGUGCGGUAGGGGAGAUUGGAAUUCCUGGUGUAGCGGUGGAAUGCGCAGAUAUCAGGAGGAACACCGAUGGCGAAGGCAGAUCUCUGGGCCGUAACUGACGCUGAGGAGCGAAAGGGUGGGGAGCAAACAGGCUUAGAUACCCUGGUAGUCCACCCCGUAAACGUUGGGAACUAGUUGUGGGGUCCAUUCCACGGAUUCCGUGACGCAGCUAACGCAUUAAGUUCCCCGCCUGGGGAGUACGGCCGCAAGGCUAAAACUCAAAGGAAUUGACGGGGACCCGCACAAGCGGCGGAGCAUGCGGAUUAAUUCGAUGCAACGCGAAGAACCUUACCAAGGCUUGACAUAUACGAGAACGGGCCAGAAAUGGUCAACUCUUUGGACACUCGUAAACAGGUGGUGCAUGGUUGUCGUCAGCUCGUGUCGUGAGAUGUUGGGUUAAGUCCCGCAACGAGCGCAACCCUCGUUCUAUGUUGCCAGCACGUAAUGGUGGGAACUCAUGGGAUACUGCCGGGGUCAACUCGGAGGAAGGUGGGGAUGACGUCAAAUCAUCAUGCCCCUUAUGUCUUGGGCUUCACGCAUGCUACAAUGGCCGGUACAAAGGGCUGCAAUACCGCGAGGUGGAGCGAAUCCCAAAAAGCCGGUCCCAGUUCGGAUUGAGGUCUGCAACUCGACCUCAUGAAGUCGGAGUCGCUAGUAAUCGCAGAUCAGCAACGCUGCGGUGAAUACGUUCCCGGGUCUUGUACACACCGCCCGUCAAGUCAUGAAAGUCGGUAACACCUGAAGCCGGGGCCUACCCUGGAGGAGCCUCAAGUGAUCAUGCCNUUUUU